rnacentral:rRNA from 1 species
GACGAACCCCUUCGGCGUGCUUAACACAUGCAAGUCGAACGGAAAGGCCCUGCUUUUGUGGGGUGCUCGAGUGGCGAACGGGUGAGUAACACGUGAGUAACCUGCCCUUGACUUUGGGAUAACUUCAGGAAACUGGGGCUAAUACCGGAUAGGAGCUCCUGCUGCAUGGUGGGGGUUGGAAAGUUUCGGCGGUUGGGGAUGGACUCGCGGCUUAUCAGCUUGUUGGUGGGGUAGUGGCUUACCAAGGCUUUGACGGGUAGCCGGCCUGAGAGGGUGACCGGCCACAUUGGGACUGAGAUACGGCCCAGACUCCUACGGGAGGCAGCAGUGGGGAAUAUUGCACAAUGGGCGGAAGCCUGAUGCAGCAACGCCGCGUGCGGGAUGACGGCCUUCGGGUUGUAAACCGCUUUCGCCUGUGACGAAGCGUGAGUGACGGUAAUGGGUAAAGAAGCACCGGCUAACUACGUGCCAGCAGCCGCGGUGAUACGUAGGGUGCGAGCGUUGUCCGGAUUUAUUGGGCGUAAAGGGCUCGUAGGUGGUUGAUUGCGUCGGAAGUGUAAUCUUGGGGCUUAACCCUGAGCGUGCUUUCGAUACGGGUUGACUUGAGGAAGGUAGGGGAGAAUGGAAUUCCUGGUGGAGCGGUGGAAUGCGCAGAUAUCAGGAGGAACACCAGUGGCGAAGGCGGUUCUCUGGGCCUUUCCUGACGCUGAGGAGCGAAAGCGUGGGGAGCGAACAGGCUUAGAUACCCUGGUAGUCCACGCUGUAAACGGUGGGUACUAGGUGUGGGGUCCAUUCCACGGGUUCCGUGCCGUAGCUAACGCUUUAAGUACCCCGCCUGGGGAGUACGGCCGCAAGGCUAAAACUCAAAGGAAUUGACGGGGCCCCGCACAAGCGGCGGAGCAUGCGGAUUAAUUCGAUGCAACGCGUAGAACCUUACCUGGGUUUGACAUGGAUCGGGAGUGCUCAGAGAUGGGUGUGCCUCUUUUGGGGUCGGUUCACAGGUGGUGCAUGCCUGUCGUCAGCUCGUGUCGUGAGAUGUUGGGUUAAGUCCCGCAACGAGCGCAACCCUUGUUCACUGUUGCCAGCACGUUAUGGUGGGGACUCAGUGGAGACCGCCGGGGUCAACUCGGAGGAAGGUGGGGAUGACGUCAAGUCCUCAUGCCCCUUAUGUCCAGGGCUUCACGCAUGCUACAAUGGCUGGUACAGAGAGUGGCGAGCCUGUGAGGGUGAGCGAAUCUCGGAAAGCCGGUCUCAGUUCGGAUUGGGGUCUGCAACUCGACCUCAUGAAGUCGGAGUCGCUAGUAAUCGCAGAAUCAGCAACGCUGCGGUGAAUACGUUCCCGGGGCU